ensembl:snRNA U1 U1 spliceosomal RNA
AUACUUACCUGGCAGGGGAGACACCAUGAUCAGAGAGGUGGUUUUCCCAGGACGAGUUUCACCCAAUGCACUGUGGGUGUGCUGACCUCUGCAAUUUCCCCAAAUGCGGGAAACUCAACUGUAUAAUUUGUGGUAGUGGGGGACUGUGUUCGGGUUCUCCCCUG